UCCAGACUCCUACGGGAGGCAGCAGUGGGGAAUAUUGCACAAUGGGGGAAACCCUGAUGCAGCGACGCCGCGUGAGUGAAGAAGUAUUUCGGUACGUAAAGCUCUAUCAGCAGGGAAGAAAAAAGACGGUACCUGACUAAGAAGCCCCGGCUAACUACGUGCCAGCAGCCGCGGUAAUACGUAGGGGGCAAGCGUUAUCCGGAUUUACUGGGUGUAAAGGGAGCGUAGACGGCAAUACAAGUCGGAAGUGAAAUACCCGGGCUUAACCUGGGAACUGCUUUGGAAACUGUGCAGCUAGAGUGCAGGAGAGGUAAGUGGAAUUCCUAGUGUAGCGGUGAAAUGCGUAGAUAUUAGGAGGAACACCAGUGGCGAAGGCGGCUUACUGGACUGUAACUGACGUUGAGGCUCGAAAGCGUGGGGAGCAAACAGGAUUAGAUACCCCCGUA
rnacentral:rRNA from 1 species